UACGGAGGGAGCUAGCGUUGUUCGGAAUUACUGGGCGUAAAGCGCACGUAGGCGGCUUUGUAAGUUAGAGGUGAAAGCCCGGGGCUCAACCCCGGAAUAGCCUUUAAGACUGCAUCGCUUGAAUCCGGGAGAGGUGAGUGGAAUUCCGAGUGUAGAGGUGAAAUUCGUAGAUAUUCGGAAGAACACCGGUGGCGAAGGCGGCCCACUGGUCCGGUACUGACGCUGAGGUGCGAAAGCGUGGGGAGCAAACAGG
rnacentral:rRNA from 1 species